rnacentral:rRNA from 1 species
AUGGACCCAAGUGAGAUUUUGAACGAUCAAUUUCAUAUUGGAGGGCAGUUCAUCCACAUUGGUCCAAAUUUGGACUAUAUUGGGGGAGAAGAAGGCAUGUCAAAGAUUGAGAGGGGUAAUUUGUCUCUGCAGGAAGUGAAAGGUCAUCUACGAGACCAUAUUCAAUUGAAGGAAUCUAUGAAGUUAUACUUUCUGCUUCCUAGGAAAGAGCUUAUCAGUGGCUUGGUUUUCCUUCAUGAUGACAUUGGGUGUGUGGAGAUGGCUGACUAUAUUUGUGUUGGAGGAGUUGCUGAUGUGUAUGUGGAGUAUCAUGGAGAGGAAGAUAGCAAUGAUAGCAGAAGUGGGAGUGACUUUGAGGAUGAAAUAAUGGAACGGAGUGAUGACGAACCAGAUGUAGUGAUAACUGUUGUUGAACAUGUAGAAUCUGACACUGAUGUUCUCAUUACUGAUGAAAGUGGUGUGAUCACACAGAGAAUUUGCAGCCCCAUGAAGCAGACAAUAGGCAGUGCAAGACAAGUAGAUGUUGAUCAUGAAAUGACAGUGAUUGAAGGAGUUUUUUCUCAGGUUUUGAAUCCAACUCAAGGUGCAUCUGCCUCUGCUUCUAAACCUCAAGCUUCAGGCCAUGUCAAUGAUCAAAUGGUCAUAGCUGCACAUGUUGAGAAUGGCAAAGAAAAUUCAGAUUCAGAAAGUGACACUGAAUACAUUGGACAUACUGAUGGCAACGGGGAGGAUUCCGAAGUUGUGUAG